UUUCAUUGCUCCUCAUUACAUAUGAUGAGAGAACAUCAUUUCUCUCCUUUUCCUCCCAGGUGGCCGUUGAGGACCGCAUCAGGCAGCUGCAUGAGGCUCACAGGGAUUUUGGCCCAGCAUCCCAGCACUUCCUUUCCACUUCUGUCCAGGGUCCCUGGGAGAGAGCCAUCUCACCAAACAAAGUGCCCUACUAUAUCAAGUAAGUUGGAAGAGUCACAUUCUUAAAGGAGCAUUUCUUGUGGCUAAUCUGUGUAUUCAAGAAUGAAUUCGUUUUUUAAAACCCAGUGCUAGCCUGGCCU
rnacentral:lncRNA from 1 species